GGAGACUCUAAGACUUCUGAAGAGUUUCUUGCUUCUUUCCUGUGGGGCAGUGACUCCACUUCCCAGCAGUAAUGGAAUAUCCUGAAUUAGCUACAUUAAUGUUAGAACCAUUUGGACCUCACCCAGGACUUCAACUACAUUAUGCUAAAGUUACAGAACCCAAAUUUGGCAACUGUCUGCAUCUGAACAACAGAAGUUUCAACAUUCUGCCAACAGAGUAACUCCUGGACGAUUGGCACAGAAGAAGGCACAAGGCAAAUACCCAUCUCUGUACACCCUGUGCUACUGUGUCAUGUGCUGCUCCAGGCAACUCCAAUGGAUUGGCCACCCUGGCCAAUGUGCCCUCCAAACACCAGCACUGAGUAGAAAGAGGCUCUGAUUCAUGAAAUGUGAAUUUAUGACAGUUGCCACUCUUAAAAAAAAAAACAAACAGACAGAACUUGAGCAAUACAUGACUGAUGCAUUCUCAGCCUGCUUCCUGUGUUCCAUCUGUCUUUCUGCCAGUGCAUUCACCCUCCAGUGAAACUUUCUACAUUCCACAUUUUCUAUCAAGAAAAGAAAGAGGUUGUAUUGUGAGGUAAGAGGCACACACACGGACUUCCUUCAGUAGCUGCAAUCCUUGCUAUAGGUCAGGCAUCAAGACAAUUCCACUUUACAGGCCUGGAUUUUGGAGAAAGAAAGGUUCUAGUAUGUUACGUUUAUGUUCCCCUGCUUUCUACAAUCCUGUUCAA
ensembl:lncRNA STARD13-AS STARD13 antisense RNA